CCUACGGGGGGCUGCAGUGGGGAAUCUUGCGCAAUGGACGAAAGUCUGACGCAGCGACGCCGCGUGGGUGAUGAAGGCCUUCGGGUUGUAAAGCCCUGUGGGGAGGGACGAAUAAGUGCUGGCUAACAUCCAGCGCGAUGACGGUACCUCCUUAGCAAGCACCGGCUAACUCUGUGCCAGCAGCCGCGGUAAGACAGAGGGGGCAAAACUUGUUCGGAAUUACUGGGCGUAGAGCCUGCGAAGCGGACGUGAAAGCCCUCGGCUCAACCGGGGAAGUGCAUUCGAAACUGCAGAGCUAGAGUCCCGGAGAGGAUGGUGGAAUUCUCGGUGUAGAGGUGAAAUUCGUAGAUAUCGAGAGGAACACCGGUGGCGAAGGCGGCCAUCUGGACGGUGACUGACGCUGAGACGCGAAAGCGUGGGGAGCAAACAGGAUUAGAUACCCCAGUAGUC
rnacentral:rRNA from 1 species